UCCGUAGGUGAACCUGCGGAGGGAUCAUUACCGAGUUUACAACUCCCAAACCCCUGUGAACAUACCACUUGUUGCCUCGGCGGAUCAGCCCGCUCCCGGUAAAACGGGACGGCCCGCCAGAGGACCCCUAAAACUCUGUUUCUAUAUGUAACUUCUGAGUAAAACCAUAAAUAAAUCAAAACUUUCAACAACGGAUCUCUUGGUUCUGGCAUCGAUGAAGAACGCAGCAAAAUGCGAUAAGUAAUGUGAAUUGCAGAAUUCAGUGAAUCAUCGAAUCUUUGAACGCACAUUGCGCCCGCCAGUAUUCUGGCGGGCAUGCCUGUUCGAGCGUCAUUUCAACCCUCAAGCACAGCUUGGUGUUGGGACUCGCGUUAAUUCGCGUUCCUCAAAUUGAUUGGCGGUCACGUCGAGCUUCCAUAGCGUAGUAGUAAAACCCUCGUUACUGGUAAUCGUCGCGGCCACGCCGUUAAACCCCAACUUCUGAAUGUUGACCUCGGAUCAGGUAGGAAUACCCGCUGAACUUAAGCAUAUCAAUAAGCGGAGGA
rnacentral:rRNA from 1 species